UACGGGGGGGGCAAGCGUUGUUCGGAAUUACUGGGCGUAAAGGGCGUGUAGGUGGCCAACUAAGUCCGACGUGAAAUCCCCAGGCUUAACCUGGGAACUGCGUCGGAUACUGGAUGGCUUGAAUCCGGGAGAGGGAUGCGGAAUUCCAGGUGUAGCGGUGAAAUGCGUAGAUAUCUGGAGGAACACCGGUGGCGAAGGCGGCAUCCUGGACCGGUAUUGACACUGAAGCGCGAAAGCCAGGGGAGCAAACGGG
rnacentral:rRNA from 1 species